ensembl:lncRNA
AGAGUUCUCCUGAGAGAGAGGGGGAUGGGAGGAAAGAAGAGAGUAGAGUGCUUGGGGGAGGGACCACGAGCCAGAAAGUGCAAGCAACCCUAGAAGAUGGAGAAAGCAAAGAAACGAAUUCUCCCCUCUGGCCUGCAGAAGGAAGAUAGUCUGGCUGAUACCUUGAUGUUUAGGACUUCUGACCUGCAGAACGGUUUCUUCCCAAACUCGACUCUCUACACAUUUGUUCUGCUCACCCUUCAUUGGCUAAAAUCAUUAAUGCUAAAAGGAUCCAAGGUAUUCAAAGAGGGUAGACGUCUGAGAUUAUUCAAGUUUAGUAUAUGCCUCCCUCUGCUGCUGCUGCUGCUGCUAAGUCACUUCAGUCGUGUCCGACUCUGUGCGACCCCAUAGAUGGCAGCCAACCAGGCUCCCCCGUCCCUGGGAUUCUCCAGGCAAGAACACUGGAGUGGGUUGCCAUUUCCUUCUCCAAGGCAUGAAAGUGAAAAGUGAAAGUGAAGUCGCUCAGUCGUGUCCGACUGCCUCCCUCUACUGUGGUACAGUCUACUAUAUUGGACCCAGGGUUCUGUUCAGUCACUUAGUCGUGUCUGACUCUUCGACCCCAUGGACUGCAGCACGCCAGGCUUCCCUGUCCAUCACCAACUCCCAGAGCUUGCUCAAACUCAUGUCUAUUGAGUUGGUGAUGCUAUCCAACCAUCUCAUUCUCUGUCAUCCCCUUCUCCUCCUGCCUUCAAUCUUUCCCAGUAUCGGGUCUUUUCCAGUGAGUCAUUUCUUCGCAUUGGGUGGCCAAAGUAUUGGAGUUUCAGCUUCAGCAUCAGCCCUUCCAAUGAAUAUUCAGGACUGAUUUCCUUUAGGAUGGACUGGUUGGACCUCCUUGCAGUCGAAAGGACUCUCAAGAGUCUUCUCCAACACCACAGUUCAGAAGCAUCAAUUCUUUGGUGCUCAGCUUUCUUAUAGUCUAACUCUCAUAUCUAUACAUAACUACUGGAAAAACCAGACCUUUGACUAAACAGACCUUUGUUGGCAAAGCAAUGUCUCUGCUUUUUAAUAAGCUGUCUAGGUUGGUCAUAGCUUUUCUUCCAAGGAGCAAGCGUCGUUUAAUUUCAUGGCUGCAGUCACCAU